UAACGAAUCUGACAAAAGAAAGUGUCGCUCUGCCCUGUAAACCGAGGUAUUAAUUAUUAAAAUUGAUGACUAUUCAGGUUAGGAAAUCUGUUGAUGACAUAGAGGGACAUGAGAACACUUUUCCUGAGAGGAGGAGCAGGUCUGAAAGAGACACUGGUGGAGCAACUUUGCGUAUCAUUGUAGCGAUGUCCCAGAUGUAACUCCACUGUUGCGCAUCGAAUCGGUACUACGUUUGCGUGUACCGAGCCAUCACAAUGGAUCGAUCGCAGCAAUCCAGUUCCAGCACCGGCAGCA